ACCAAGGGAGGUGCUGAGCUAUCUAGGAUCAAAAGUGAGUAGGAAAUACGCUAACAGAAAAGAACCUGACUGUUGUUGGGAGACCCAGAGGGAGGUGCCACCCUUUGGAGAUUUUGACAGUCAACAUCUAAUUAAUAGGCUCAGCUGCCACCUCGGUCUUGACUUCGGUGAGGAGACCUGGAGGGCAUUCACCCAUCCUGUUUACCCAGCUUGCCUGGGAAGCACCCGCUCAGGAAUCAGUUCUCUUCACCCUGAGCUCACUUGGCCUCUCUCUUCCUGGGAC